rnacentral:antisense_RNA from 1 species
CUUCAACGAGCCCAGCCACAGCGGGCGUUCGCGGUCCUGGCCGUAGGUGGACAGCAGGGCCUCGGCCUC